CCAAGCUUCAAGACUCUAGGGUUAAUUCCAUUGAAGGUAACUUCCUUUGAUAUUGGUAUUGUUCAAUUUUGUUUUUCCGGCUUCUGGUUGCUAUUAUAGCUUGUUGUUUUUAACGGUUACUAAAGAUAUGUUCAAAUUCAUACCAGCACUCCAAUAGCUAUUGCUUGAAAUCUGUUUUCUACCUGUGGUUAUUAAGUAUAUAUACUUAUAAGGUGUCCUUUAUUGCUUUCUUAAAUUCUGGGUAGUCUGCUAUGCAAUGAUGGCAUUGGCAGAUUUCGUUGCAGUAUUGAAAUGUAAAUAUAUUGAACAGAUCAAAUGGUAAGAUUAGUUAGCUUUCUUCCUGAUUACGUUUUCUCUUCCAUUUUCAAUGCUAUGUCUACCACGCAUUCUCAUGUCCAUGGUGCCUUUUUUGUUUGAUGUGAAGUAAAUUUCCACACGGGGUGGGGCAACGAGGUUGUGGCAACUUGGUGGCAUGGCUGCCGAUCAGCCAAGCAAGACCUACUCUCUCUACACCUCCGCAUGGUUGCUUGUUGCUGCUAUCAACUUCUCUAUCAUUGUUGGAAUGGGUCGGCGAUAAAAACUGCAAGUCUCCUUGCGCAUAAUCUCUUUUCGUUUGAAGCACAUUUCCGAUUUGAGCUAAGUGACAGUUUGAUUGAUAUUGGCGUGAUGGCUAAGGUCGAGGCUGCCACGUACUAGACCACCGCCAUGCUCAACGUCGAGGAGUGCGGCAGCACCGUGGCCAGGGCCAUAGCGUUCGGUGCCGAGAACGUGGCCAAGGGGAUCCUAUGGUGCGGGGUGAUAACCGUGAACAAGCUCCACCGGGCGAACGAGGUCAGCCCGGAGAUGCUCGGGCAUAUCAAAAUGCUUCAUGUGCGUAUAUGUGACUAUUUGCUUAUGGUGAACUUGAAGAUAGUCGUUAAGGUAUUCAUGGUGGAGGGAAAGGUUGAUGCUGGUCCUGGUCCUAUUUAUGCAACCGGCGUGGAAUUCAAGGAAGAAGGGCAUUUCGAACAAAGAAAUCAGCUGGUUUAGUGCCAGGCUCCUUGCUACUGUAGCUGAUGGGGAACACUGCUAUGGCUGCUGCACGGUGGCGGGGUUUGGGCAUGCCGCUGGUGCUCCAUCAGAUUGGUGUGGAUGCCUAUGCUCGGAAUCUGUUGUAUCUACGGGUUCCCAGGUCCCCUUGCUAAUUUUAUAGUGAGCUAGCAUUCUAGAUCUUUGGGGGAGGAUCCUCAACGGAGCCUCCAUGGAGGGGAUAGGCACCCAAAGGUGUUGACUUUGAUGUGGCCGUCGUGCUGACCAGAAGUUUCCUCUGGAUCCACACCGCCUAUUUUUUGGACUGGAGAUAUGUUGUCAACAUUUCAAGCAGUUUGCUCGCUCCCAGGGAGAAGGGGUGCCACUUGGCCGGCGAAGUGCUGGCAGCAGGAAGUAUGCCAUCGACAUCAUCGAGAUCCGCUUGAAGGACGGUCGUUGUCCUCUCCAAGAGGAGGGGCCAGCUCAAGGAGGAUACUACUAUGAGAUGGUCUGAUACAUAGAAGACAGACUCAAGCCCCUCUAGGGAAGCAUCCACUAUCCCUGUUCUACUGAUUUCGCCGGAACGUCGACCGCCUAUGCUCCACCUGUGUGAUGACGAAGUGAUGCAUACGGAAACAUGUUUGAUAAGAAUCAGCGUGCCAAUAUGGAAUAUAAGGUGAGUGAGUAUUGUGUAUGCUGAGCCUUCCAAAC